GACGAACUGUGCAAACGUUAUUCGGAAUCACUGGGCUUGAAGAGUGCGUAGGCGGUUUUGUAAGUAGGGUGUGAAAGCCCUCGGCUCAACCGAGGAACUGCGCUUCAAACUGUAGAACUAGAGGGAGAUAGAGGUGAGCAGAACUGAUGGUGGAGCGGUGAAAUGCGUUGAUAUCAUCAGGAAUACCGGAGGCGAAGGCGGCUCACUGGGUCUCUUCUGACGCUGAGGAAUGAAAGCUAGGGGAGCAAACGGG
rnacentral:rRNA from 1 species